rnacentral:sRNA from 1 species
UUGGCUGUCGUCAGCUCGUGUCGUGAGAUGUUGGGUUAAGUCCCGCAACGAGCGCAACCCUCAUUAUUAGUUGCCAUCAGGUUAAGCUGGGCACUUUAAUAAAACUGCCGGUGAUAAGCUGGAGGAAGGCGGGGAUGACGUCAAGUCCUCAUGGCCCUUAUGGGCUGGGCUACACACGUGCUACAAUGGUGGUGACAGUGGGAAGCAAUUUCGCAAGAAUUCGCAAAUCCCCAAAAACCAUCUCAGUUCGAAUUGGACUCUGCAACUCGAGUCCAUGAAGUUGGAAUCGCUAGUAAUCGUAGAUCAGCGUGCUACGGUGAAUACGUUCUCGGGCCUUGUACACACCGCCCGUCACGCCAUGGAAGUUGGUUUUACCUUAAGCCGGUGCGCUAACCGCAAGGAGGCAGCCGUCCACGGUAGGGUCAGCAACUGGGGCGAAGUCGUAACAAGGUAGCCGUAGGGGAACCUGCGGCUGGAUCACCUCCUUUCUAAGGAUAAAUGAUAACUAGUUCGCUAGUUAUCCGGAUUGUUGCCUUCUUAUCUCUUCAUGAAAAUAGCUAGUGCUAUGUGUACCCUAACGCAACCUGGGCUAGUAGCUCAGUUGGUUAGAGCGCGCGCUUGAUAAGCGUGAGGUCGGAAGUUCGAAUCUUCCCUGGCCCACCAUAUUAUUAAUGGGGGAUUAGCUCAGCUGGGAGAGCGCCUGAUUUGCAUUCAGGAGGUCGUCGGUUCGAUCCCGAUAUCCUCCACCAUUAAUUAUCUAUCUAUUUGUCUUAUUUGUUCUUUGAAUUGUGAAUAUGAAACUAAUAACUGAUCAAAUAAUUAUUAUAAUAUUUUUACGUACAUAAAAUUUUUCUCUGUACGUAAUUGCAAUUAAGCGCAAAAGGGCAUUUAGUGGAUGCCUUGGUAUCAAGAGACGAUGAAGGACGUGGCAGGCUGCGAUAAGCUAAGGGGAGUUGUCAACAAACUUUGAUCCUUAGAUCUCCGAAUGGGGAAACCCGG